AUUGAACGCUGGCGGCAGGCCUAACACAUGCAAGUCGAGCGCGAAAGGCCUUCGGGUCGAGUAGAGCGGCGGACGGGUGAGUAACGCGUAGGAAUCUACCUGGUAGUGGGGGACAACUUGGGGAAACUCAAGCUAAUACCGCAUACGCCCCAAGGGGGAAAGCGGGGGACCUUCGGGCCUCGCGCUAUCAGAUGAGCCUGCGUAGGAUUAGCUAGUUGGUGAGGUAAAGGCUCACCAAGGCGACGAUCCUUAGCUGGUCUGAGAGGAUGAUCAGCCACACUGGGACUGAGACACGGCCCAGACUCCUACGGGAGGCAG
rnacentral:rRNA from 1 species